GUGGGUAUAGCUCAGUGGUAGAGCAUGUGCUUAGCAUGCACAAGGUCCUGGGUUCAAUACCCAGUACCUCCA
rnacentral:tRNA from 1 species